UGACACUGAGGCACGAAAGCGUGGGUAUCAAACAGGAUUAGAUACCCUGGUAGUCCACGCAGUAAACGAUGAAUACUAGCUGUUGGCGAUAUAAUGUCAGCGGUACAGCGAAAGUGUUAAGUAUUCCACCUGGGGAGUACGCCGGCAACGGUGAAACUCAAAGGAAUUGACGGGGGCCCGCACAAGCGGAGGAACAUGUGGUUUAAUUCGAUGAUACGCGAGGAACCUUACCCGGGCUCGAACGGUGCAGGAAGGAACAAGAGAUUGUGACGCCCUUCGGGGCCUGCAUCGAGGUGCUGCAUGGUUGUCGUCAGCUCGUGCCGUGAGGUGUCGGCUCAAGUGCCAUAACGAGCGCAACCCUUGUCAGUAGUUACCAGCAUGCAAUGAUGGGGACUCUACUGAGACUGCCACCGCAAGGUGAGAGGAAGGGGGGGAUGACGUCAAAUCAGCACGGCCCUUACGUCCGGGGCGACACACGUGUUACAGUGGCGGCCACAGAGGGAAGCCACCCUGCGAAGGGGAGCGAAUCUCGAAAAGCCGUCUCAGUUCGGAUCGGAGUCUGCAACCCGACUCCGUGAAGCUGGAUUCGCUAGUAAUCGC
rnacentral:rRNA from 1 species